rnacentral:lncRNA from 1 species
GCCGACCAAAUCCAAGUCAAAAUCCACCUCCUCGUACAUAAACCUCCAACAUUCGCAUUAUUCUUUAUUUGGAUUCUUUCUUUUUUUCUUUUCUUUUCCUUUCCGUUUCUUCAGAAUUUCUCUAUUUUCCCUCAAGAGGUAAAAGGAUAGUUAAAUCGAUGACGUUUUAUUACUCUCCUCUCCGUUAGAUCUUGCUUUUCCUUUUUUAUUUUUCAAGUAAAUUUAGAAAAAGGUUGAUUUUUUGUUUGAAUUUGUUGUUUUGAUCUGUUUGCUGUUCGGAUAUUAAUUUUUUUGAAUUUGAAAUUUUACGCCCGGUCUGUCGUUUUAGUGAAAAUAUCGUAGAUAAUUGAUGGAAUCUGCUCUUGAUUUCUGUUUGAUUUUUAUGGGAAUAAUAUGUUUUGUCUUUUGAAGCAUGAAAUUGGACUCAAAUCGGUACCGGAAAUGAUUUAAUUCAAAUUCAGUUAAUAUUUGAUGAAUUUCAAUUCCAGGAUCCAAUUCAUACUUCCAAACACAGCGUUAGGCUAUCUGGAUAUCUGUGUUUGAGUGGAUACGUGUUCGUGCGGUGUAUAUAUGUGUGUUAUUUUACAUAAAUAGGCUCGAAUAUUAUGUUUCUAUGUAAAGAUUUUCUUUAGAAAUCUUGUGUGUGAUUGAAAUAGAAAUUACAUGCUAUGAUCUGAUUAUCUGUGCUUCUUAUAAUGCCGUAUCUUGUACAGGUUCUGAUCCGCUUGUCAACUAUUAAAUCGGAAAUUGAAAAUGGAUUUAGAAGUUUGAAAAUUUGAAAUGAUAUGUUCCUAUUAUCUUAUUUAUUGGCCCAAUCAGCUGUUUGCUAGACAAAAUUAUGCAUCCACCACAUAUUCUCAGGUUAUUUGUAAUAUACAUUAUCUUGUUUUAAAUUAACUUGUUAGUUGAGUGACCCUGAAUUCAGGUUUAGUUCCUUGGAAAGUUUUUCAUAACCGGACAAAAGUAAUGUUCUCAUAGACAAAUCUAUGUUUUCCUCACUCUCUUGAUUCUUGUUAUAUAUGUCACUAGAAUUUGAAUUGAGUUGCUAGUCGUGUGAUCCUGUAUUCAGGUUUGCUUCCUCAAAAAGUAUUUUGUAACGAAGAGGCAUUCAUCUAUUUUAUUUUUUGUUGCAGGAUAAAAAUUCUUGAGUUUUAGAUAUGUUAGAGCAGUUACUGAUAUUUACUAGAGGAGGUCUGAUCCUCUGGACAUGCAAAGAACUUGGAAAUGCACUAAGGGGUUCACCUAUUGACACCUUGAUUAGGUCAUGCCUUUUGGAGGAAAGGUCAGGUGCAGCAUCAUACAAUUAUGAUGCACCUGGUGCUUCAUAUACGCUUAAAUGGACAUUUCACAAUGAACUUGGACUUGUAUUUGUUGCUAUAUAUCAGCGGAUUCUUCAUCUCUUGUAUGUGGAUGACUUGCUUGCUAUGGUUAAGAAAGAAUUCUCGGAGAUCUAUGAUCCUAAGCGUACUGUGUACAAUGAUUUUGAUGACAUAUUUCUGCAGCUUAAGAAGGAAGCUGAGUCUCGUGCUGAGGAAAUGAAGAAAUCAAAGCAGGUGAACAAGCCUUUGAAUAAUAAUGUUGGUAAGAAGCAAGGAAAGGUGCAAAAUGGCAGUAUGGAAGGAGGCAAUAAAAAAAAGAGUGGAGGUGAAUCUGGAGAUGAUGCUGGAGAUGGAAACAAGUUUAAAGGUCAUCCAUUAGAAAAUGGAAAUUUUGAAAAUAACCAUGUUGGAAAUGGGGAAGUGCCCGCAAUGGGUAAUAGUAAAGAGAGUAGGGUCUCUGAUGCUGGGGCUUUUGAUGUAAAUAAACUCCAGAAGCUUAGAUCUAAAGGUGGAAAGAAAACUGACACUUCUGUUAACAAGGGUUCCAAGGUAGAACCCAAUAAAAAGGUAACUAAAAAGAACAGAGUUUGGAAUGAUUCACCAUCAGAGUCAAAAUUGGAUUUUACUGAUCCAGUGAGUGAGAAUGGGGAAGAAAAUGUAGCUGCUGUUAUAGCAGAUCAAGGUGAGAGUAUGAUGGACAAAGAGGAGAUUAUUGAUAGUGAAAGUGAUACUGAGGAUGGGGAAAUGGCUAAGGAUAAUAAGGUAGAAACGAAGAAGAAAAGUUGGUUCUCAUCCAUGUUCCAGAGGUAAACUCUCUAUCUUGCACCUAAUUAGUGUGGCAAUUCGUAUUUGCAAACUAAUUCAUUUUUUAGAACAUAUAUGUAACUCAGGUAGCUUCUCAUUCACUUUGAAACAGGAUCUUUUGUUUCAUAUCUGUCUGUGGGGUUUUUGUUGUCUUCAUGUGUAACUAGUAGUUGUGCCAUUAAAGAGAUUGGGUUAUUUCAUGUUUGGGCCAAAAUGGCACAUUUUAUUUUUUCGUAGAUGCAAUCAUUUUGACCUUGUAUAAUUUAGAAAGAUAUGAUAAGCUUAGUAAAAGUGUAUAACAGUGCCUCGUAAAACUUAAUUCUGUUUAACCUAAGAACCUCGUCAGAGCUGUCAUGCGGCAUUAUGUCCUCAAUUUCAAUGAUGAUUUUGUGGUCUCUAAAGCCUAGAAAUUAAGGUACACUGAAGUGUUCUUUCUACAGUCGCCUUCCUCUGAUAAACAACCCAAAAGUUGAAGAAAUAACCAAAGAAGAUAAAUAUAUGUAGAAAAGAUUAAUGCAUGAAAUGAGAGAAGAAAAUAAGUUCUUAGUGUCCUUUUAUUAACUUUUGAAGUUUGCAUAUGCUGAGAUCUUAUGUUUGGAAAUUUUCGUCUUCAUAAUUUGAUGACCUAAUGGUUAUUCUUCUCUUAUUUUAAAUAGUGAUAUCUUGCCAGUAUCAUAGGAGUGCUCUACAGAGAAUUUAGAAGCUCAUAGUUUUAGUAAGUCAGCUUUUGAUAAAUAAACUUUUUGCAUAUUUCAAAAAACUAAUUAUUGUGAGGAUUCUUGUUUACUGGGGUUCAUAUAAGUAGAGAUCAAGUUGUUUGCCUUGUUUUCUCCAUCUUGAUUAGACUUGCUUAUCGUCUUUGUAAACAAUGAAUUUGGCAUGAUUUGUGGACAUGCGAAUCACUUUUUGCUCAUUACUGUGGGUUCAGUAUCGCUGGAAAAACAAAUUUGGAGAAAUCUGACCUAGAACCAGCUCUGAAAGCUCUCAAGGACAGGCUCAUGACUAAGAAUGUGGUAUGUUAAUUAGCUUUUGCUGUUUACUGUGACUCAGUUUUACUUUUUGACAUUACUGUUUGAAGAUAGGGUCAGUACAGGAACCAUAGUUUGUCAGUUCCUUUGCUUAAAACUGUUUUGCCCAUUUCUAUUCAGUAAUAGUUUGUCAUACUUACUCUUGAAAUCACUUGAUGCUAUUCCUUGGAUAGGCAGAGGAAAUCGCUGAAAAACUUUGUGAAUCAGUUGCUGCGAGUCUUGAAGGCAAAAAGCUAGCCUCUUUUACUAGAGUUUCUUCAACGGUGCAGGUAAACAAACAUGUCCUACACAAUCCCUUCGAGGAGAACCCGCAAAAGAAAGGAAGCAGGGAAGAACAUUGUGCUUCAGCAAUAGCACAGACAUGCAUCUUUAGGAAAAGGAUACCUAGGCUAAUUAUUUUCUGGGUUACAUCUCCAUUUUAUUUCAAGUAGUAAUGUAUUCGAUUGAAUUGAUGAUACCAGGCAGCUAUGGAAGAAGCUCUUGUUCGUAUAUUAACUCCCAGGCGCUCCAUUGACAUUUUGAGGGAUGUUCAUUCUGCCAAGGAGCAACGGAAACCGUAUGUUGUGGUUUUUGUUGGAGUCAACGGAGUUGGGAAAUCUACCAAUCUUGCAAAGGUGAAGUAUGAUAACAUAAAUUGAUGCUUGUUGCCCUGCAGUUGUCUUAUCACUUUCAUGCCAUACCCCUAUGCAGGUUGCUUACUGGCUUUUGCAGCAUAAGAUCAAUGUCAUGAUGGCAGCUUGUGACACAUUCAGAUCAGGAGCUGUUGAGCAGCUGCGUACCCAUGCACGUAGACUCCAGGUAUACUAUUUUGCCACAGGGCCCAAAUCUUUAUAUUUGCUUGAGAUCUUAGUCUCACUUAAGAAGCAAGAACUUGCUUUGAAGUGAUAAAUGACUCUCAACUGAAUGACAUAUCAGAUCCCAAUAUUUGAGAAGGGUUAUGAGAAAGAUCCUGCAAUUGUGGCAAAGGAAGCAAUUCAGGAGGCAAGUCGAAAUGGUUCAGAUGUUGUUCUGGUUGAUACAGCUGGACGAAUGCAGGUUUAUGUAGUUAUAUUAAGUUAUUAUAAAAAAUGAUGAAUGAACUAAUUUAAGCAUUGUUAAGAUCAGUAUCCUUUGUCAAAUGAAUUUUGCAUGGGAUCCCGAGAACGAUUCUGCAUCUCAUAUUACACUGCCGAACUAUUUAUAGAGUCUAGUUUUCUUUCAUUUAUGUCUGUUGUUAUACAUAGUUUUGAUCAUGCUAUGCAGGACAAUGAACCAUUGAUGCGAGCUUUGUCGAAGCUUAUUUAUGUUAAUAGUCCAGAUCUCGUUUUGUUUGUUGGUGAGGCACUUGUGGGAAAUGAUGCUGUGGAUCAGUUGUCAAAGUUUAAUCAGGUUGAUAUGAUAGAUUCUUUGUUAUUUGUAUUGCCUACUCACUUUUCUUCUUUUACGUUAACAAAAUUUCACGAUUUUCUUGCAGAAACUAGCUGAUUUCUCACCCUCGCCCAAUCCCAGAUUGAUUGAUGGAAUCCUGCUCACUAAGUUUGAUACCAUCGACGAUAAGGUGAGGGCUUUCAUUUUGUUUAGUCCUUUUAUUUUCUUUUCUUUUACCUUUGAAAUGGGUAAAGCAUUAGUAUCUCUUUUAUGUUGUAUAUUUGUAAUGUUAUGUUCCAUGAUGUAGGUGGGAGCUGCACUGUCUAUGGUUUAUAUUUCUGGAGCACCUGUCAUGUUUGUUGGAUGUGGACAGUCUUACACAGAUUUGAAGAAGCUCAAUGUCAAAUCUAUUGUCAAAACACUCCUUAAAUAAGAUCUUCUGGUCUUCGACCUGGAAGUCUUCUCGACUCUGUCAUCAAGUAUCUGAAUCUGUUAUUUGUGGUUGCUAUUUUUGUGUACUGUCCUGAGAUCUCACUACUUUGACACUAUGGUGAAUUAUUUCAAUAAGAAUUUGUUAACGUCUCUCUCUCUCAUUCACUCUGUUACUUCAUGGAGUUAGUUUGAUGUACUAGUCUUUUUUGAUAAAUAGUUUGUUGAAUGGAAGAACAUUUUGGUUAUUUGCUGUCAUAUUGUGACCUUUAGUGCUGUAAUAUGCAUAUAAGUUUCCAUGUGGGUUUAUUAAUUGUCUUUUGUUUCUCAUUGUUAGCCUAAUUUGCACAUAAUGCUUCCAGAAAUUUCUCGCCUCCUUCCACAUGUUGUCUCAGUUUCUUUCGAGAAGUCACAGCAGUGAUGUGAAUCCAAGGGAUAUACCAAGACCCGACUUUCGCUCGUGGGAUGAGUCGAGAAAUUUUUGCACAUGAUUGAGCGUUAUUUAGAGUAACAAUGAGACCUCCAAGACGAGCAAGACCUUGUCGGGGUGUGGG